UACGUAGGGGGCUAGCGUUGUCCGGAAUCAUUGGGCGUAAAGCGCGUGUAGGCGGUUCGGUAAGUCCGCUGUGAAAGUCGGGGGCUCAACCCUCGGAUGCCGGUGGAUACUGUCGAGCUUGAGUACGGAAGAGGCGAGUGGAAUUCCUGGUGUAGCGGUGAAAUGCGCAGAUAUCAGGAGGAACACCAAUUGCGAAGGCAGCUCGCUGGGACGUUAACUGACGCUGGAGACGCGAAAGCGUGGGGAGCAAACAGG
rnacentral:rRNA from 1 species